UCUCGUUCGAUCACCUAAGUUAAGCAUCGUAGAGCCAGGUCAGUUCUUAGAUAGGGGACCGCUUGGGAACACCUAGUACUGUAAG